ensembl:lncRNA
UGUAUCAUUAAAAACUAUACUGAAGAGUUUUCAAUACAGUUUAACUUUUACUAUAAUCUCAUAGGGAUGCACACGUAUCAGUACAGAGAGAGUCUGCAAACUUUGAUGUAACAGGAUUGAAGAGGUGCAGCAUCUAAACCCUCUACAGGGCCUCAGGAAACUGCCGCCCCAUGCUGAGACUACUUGAUGGUGGACAGAGAAGAGCUUUUGGAUGCAGGUGUAGGUGUGUGUGUGCGUGUGUGUUAGUUGGAGCUUCCAGUAAGACCUGCAUCUCAGCCAGAAGCCUUAGGCAAGCGAUUCUGGAAAGACUUAAACUGAAAAUGGGAAGUGUGUUUUCACGGAUGGUGGAGCAUGAUGACAGAAGCAGAGAUCUGUGAAGAGGCAGUGGCCUGCAUGCUCUCCCUCAAAUGCCAGAGUCAAACUUUGUAAAACAUUUAAGGGAGAGCUGAUUUUUUUUAGGGGGGGGGGGGGGCUCUCUUACCAUAUUCUAGAAAUGUUACAAAUGUAUCAUUCUAAAAAUGAAAUGUGGCAUAAUUGACAAUUCUUAUUUUCAAAAAAAGUUUUUAAAUACAUAUUUUGAUUAUAAAUAUAAAUUAUUAAUUCAUGAAUAUAAUUUAUAAAUAGUAUUUGAUGUUUUCUAAUGUACUAAACAUUUCAGGGAAUCUCACACAUCUAACACAAUCUUUCACAACAUGAACUACCCAUGCUUUGUCAAUGUUUGAAGCAGUGAACCAGUUUUGUUUAAAUGAAUCCAAACUACAUUCUUCUUUUCUACUUUUUAAUUUUUAAUGAGGCAAUUAAAAGGCUUAUGCCACCCCAAAAAACUAUAUAAAAUUAAUUUUAAUCCAGAAAAUAAAACCAUGCCAUUAAAGAAGAGCUUUAAAGAUCAGUGACUUUCAAAGGAAAAUGAGCAUCAUGUCAUUGACCCAUAAAUGUCUGUAGAAACUUAAGAAUAAAAAAGAAGUCAGUGACAUACAGUAGUACUUGACUCACUGUGAUAACUGAAAGGUGUUUCUCAAAGAGGUGAAAGUAACCCUGGCAUCCUGCCCAUCGGCUUCUAUUAGUCAUGCCUACAAAUCAUUCCCAUGUACACUGACUGGCUACAGUCUGAUAGCUUGUGUGAUGGGCGUUCUGAUGCCCAAGAUGUUCUCUGAUGAAGGAGAUUCUCCCACUCUCUCUGUAAAGUGUGAGGGAAAAAAAACAUAUAACACAUUGCAAUUAUUAUUCUCCUCACACAGAUCAUCCAAUUCAGAAAGAGACUGUUAACUAAAGCUUCAAAUGAUAGUAUGUGUAUUGUACUAUUAGACACGAAAUAAGUCAUGCACACACACAAAGAGAUAAAUGUAAAGAAACCGAAAAUGUAAUUAAACCAGACUGUGCCACACUCACCUUCAAACAGUGUGGUCCAAAAAUCAAUAAAAGGUCCAGGUGGACAAAGGAAACAGUCCUAUUAAUAUAUAAUGAUAGUGUAAGGGAGAAACCGAGAGAGAGGGGGAAAAGGGCGAGGAAAGAGGAGAAUGAGCUUUGUAUAUUGUAAACCUUGAUGACAACAAUAUAUUGUGGAACCGAAGAGAGUGGAGCAGAGAAAGACGAGCAGUGAUUUUCCCCCACUGUUUCCCAGGAUUGGUUGGGAAUGAAGCUAUAACUGCUGCAGUAAAGAGAGAAGCAGCAAAGUGAAAAGUGAAGGAAGGAAUCCUUUUAUCGAUUCGCUCUCACAUCACAUGCUCUCCCCUUCUCUGCAAUUCAGCAUCUCUCUCUCAUCACGCACACACAGACACACAUGCACGCGUGCACGCGCACACACACACACACACCCACACACACACACACACACACACACACACACACACACACACACACACACACACACACACACACACAGGCAGGAGAGCUUGGCACAUAAAAGGUGACAUUCACUGAUGGAGUAAUUAGUAGCAAUAGCAAAUCACAUGCGAUCAGUGAUGCUGAUGUAAUGAUUAUGAUACUCAUCAAAAAACAGAAUAGACCAAUAGGUCCACUGAACAUCAAAUACUAGACUAAGGUUUUAAAUCAAAUAAUUAAUUAAUUAACUGUUGUUAUUUUUCACAUAAAUGCUGUUUUC